rnacentral:rRNA from 1 species
AAAAGGGGGUAAUCAACCUUUUGAGCUCGGUCUCGUGGGUUUUGAAGAGUUUCAAAGCCUUCGGAUUCGCGGGAUUGGGAUCUCUCGGUGUACUUUUUCGUACGGUUAGUCAACAUCGGUUUUGAAUGUCAUAAAAUGACUGGAGGAACGUAGCUUCGAUCUCGUAUUGAAGUGUUAUAGCCUUUGGUAGAUGUGAUGUUUGAGACCGAGGAUUGCAACGGAUACCCUUCAGGGCUAUUCGUCUGAUCUCUGAUACGUUGCCCUGAUGUUGAAAGCUUGCUUAUGAUGUUAGGGUAUUACGGUCAAAAGGUUAGAACGAAUUACAUUCGUUAAGGAUGUUGACGUAA